rnacentral:rRNA from 1 species
AUGGCCAAGAUCACAGGAACAGCCAUAUGUGCUCUCUUCAUCUUCUUCUCCUUCACUUGCUGCCUACCUCCUCUUGCUGGAUCCUUGUCCUUCGACUACCCAACCUUCCGCUCGGAGGACCAGAAGGCCAUCAAGAUCGAAGGUAACGCUUCCUUCAGUGUUGGGCACAUCGACAUUAGCGGCAACAACUGGGACGUCCGUAAGAGCCAGGGGCGGGCGUCGUACAGUACCCAGCCAAUGUUGCUGUGGGAUGGGCACACAGGCGAGGUGGCUAGCUUCACCACCAGCUUCUCCUUCAUCAUCAAGCCCAAGUCCAACAGCAGCAGGGGGGCUGGCAUGGCGUUCUUUCUUGCCAGCUACCCGUCGAGCUUACCGACUGGGUCUUCAGGUUACUACAACCUCGGUCUCACAAACCAAAAAGAUGGCGCUGUGGCGGCAGGCGACAACCGGUUCGUGGCGGUGGAAUUCGACACCUCCAAUGAGACCGAGGUAUCAGAUCCCGACACCACUUUGGACCACGUUGGCAUUGACAUCAACUCGUUAAAAUCGGUGAAAACAUUGCCCCUGCCAAACUUCAGCCUCAAUGGAAACAUGACUGCCACAAUCCAGUAUGACAACAUUUCAAGUAUCAUGUCUGUCACACUAUGGCUUGGUGAUGGCCAUGGCCCGAGUUACAGCCUUAGCUCCAAGGUUGAUCUCAAGAGCGCAUUGCCGGAGCUGGUUGCGGUUGGCUUCUCGGCGUCGACGGGCAAAUCCGUUGAGCUGCAUCAAUUGCUUUCUUGGCACUUCAACUCAUUGCUGGAGGGCAAGACGGCAACAGUAGUAGCACCACCGGUAUUAGCACCACCCUCCUCGAGAACUUCCGUUUCCGGGGUCAUAGCAGGAGCCGUUGCUGGGGCAUCGCUGUUCCUCGUGGUGUUCUUCGCCAUGUCAGCCUUCUUGCUACGUCGCCGUCAGAACAAGAAGAAGAGGGAGGCAAAGGACGAGGAUAUGUACUCGGAAGGCGAGGUGGUCAUGGAGAUGGAGUUUGGGACGGGGCCAAGGAGGUUCCCGUACCGGCAACUCACCAACGCGACACGGAACUUUGCAGCGGAGGAGAAGCUCGGGCAAGGUGGCUUCGGUGCGGUGUACAGAGGCCACCUGAGAGAGCUUGGCCUCCCCGUGGCCAUAAAGCGAUUCUCCAAGGAGUCAUCCAUGCAAGGGAGAAAGGAGUACACGUCGGAGAUCAAUGUCAUCAGUCGGCUGCGCCACCGGAAUCUGGUGCAGCUUGUCGGCUGGUGCCACAACCACGAUGAGCUCCUACUGGUUUACGAGCUCAUGCCCAACCGCAGCCUCGACAUCCAUCUCCACGGCAAGGGCACCUUCUUGACAUGGGCAAUGAGGAUGAAGAUAGUCCUCGAGCUUGGCUCUGCACUGCUCUACCUCCACGAGGAAUGGGAGCAAUGCGUGGUGCACCGGGACAUCAAGCCCAGCAACGUGAUGCUGGACGAGUCCUUCGGCGCCAAGCUGGGCGACUUCGGGCUCGCGAGGCUCAUCGACCAUGCCGUCGGGAUGCAGACGAUUGCUACGGGAUCGCAGCAAUUCCUUGCGUCACGCCAGGAUGUGGUAACGAGAGGCAGAAGGAAAGCGCGUGGGGAGGAAGAAGAAGCAGAGAGGAAGAAUUGUAUUUCAGAGAAUAAUGUUUACAAUGCCAGUUCUCUUUCUCCCCUCCACACACUAGCUAUAUAA